UGCCGGUGCUUUGAACUCGACUCGGCCCGGCCCGGCCUGAAUUGUCAGGGCCCGGAUCGGCUCGGCUCGGUCCUGGACGUCUGGCGGGUCUGCUGCUUUCAAAGCGUCGUGUUCGCUUAAAAAUGGUGUUGUCCCUGGCUGCAGGGUCACGGAGCCAUAGAAUUCAGGAAGGGGCCUGAAACAUGUAGUUCCAGCCACCUACCAUGGAUGGGGACACACGGAUCAGGUUGCUCAGCCCCAUCCAACCUGGCCUUGAACACACUCCGAGAUGCGUCAUCCAGGCCUCCCCGGGCAACCAAUUCAGUGCUUCGCACCCUUGCAAUAAAGACUUCAUAAAUGUCAAACCUGAAUUUUCCCUCAUGCUCCAUUCCCUCUGCCUGUAGUGUGCUCUUCUCUCCUUGCUGGGCCUCUGUAGAGUCUUCUUUCAUUUCUACUUCCUUGGCGCUGCCAGAAAUGCGGGUGCUGCCCGUGGUUAUGUAAUGCAUCUGUCUACAAACAGUUCUGAUGGAGGAAUAAAACUACUAAAGCCAUGUGAUGCAUGACUGCUGAUACACAUGUGUGGGUAAUAGGUAUGAUUUAUUUAGCAGCAUUGUUUCUACUGGCACUGCAUCUUGUAUUAAACAAUAAAGUCUAAACUAGUCUCACACCA